AUAAAGUUUAAUUUUAGUUUAUUAAUUUAUUUAAUUUUUUUUUUACAUGUAAAUUUUAGUGGGAUUAUAAUAAUAAUUUUAAUAAUUAUUAUUAAAAAUUUUAUUCGCAGUAUAAAGAUUUAUUAAUUUAAGAAAUUAAGAAUUAUAAAUAAAUUUAUAUAUUAACAAAAUUUGUGCCAGCAGUUGCGGUUAUACAAAAAAUAUAAAUAAAUUUUAUUAGUAAAUAAUUAAAUGAAUUUAAUUUAAUUAAAAUAAAAUUUAUAAAGUGAAAUUUAAAAUUUUUAAUAAUUAUAAUUUAAGUUAUUGAUGUUAUGAAAUUUAUAUAUUAAACUAGGAUUAGAUACCCUAUUAUUAUAAAUGUUAAAUUUUACUAAAGUAGUAUUAGUUAUGAUCUUGAAAUUUAAAAAUUUUGGCGGUAUUUUAGUCUAUUCAGAGGAACCUGUUCUGUAAUUGAUAAUCCACGAUAAAWUAUACUUUAUUUAUUAGUUUAUAUAUCGUCGUUAUUAAAUAUUUUAUAAGAAUUGAAAUAUUUAGGAUUUUUAAUAAAAAAAUAUAUCAGAUCAAGGUGUAGUUUAUAAUAAAGAAGAAAUGGGUUACAAUAAAUUUAUUUAUGAAUUUAUAUAUAUAAAUAUAUAAUGAAAUUGGAUUUGAUAGUAAUAAAUUUUAUAUUAAAUUUAUGAUUUUAGCUCUAAAAUGUGUACAUAUUGCCCGUCACUCUUAUUAUAAAAUAAGAUAAGUCGUAACAUAGUAGAUGUACUGGAAAGUGUAUCUAGAAUGA
rnacentral:ncRNA from 1 species